rnacentral:rRNA from 1 species
UAGAGUUUGGAUCCUGGCUCAGAUUGAACGCUGGCGGCAGGCCUAACACAUGCAAGUCGAGCGGAAACGAGUUAUCUGAACCUUCGGGGAACGAUAACGGCGUCGAGCGGCGGACGGGUGAGUAAUGCCUGGGAAAUUGCCCUGAUGUGGGGGAUAACCAUUGGAAACGAUGGCUAAUACCGCAUAAUAGCUUCGGCUCAAAGAGGGGGACCUUCGGGCCUCUCGCGUCAGGAUAUGCCCAGGUGGGAUUAGCUAGUUGGUGAGGUAAGGGCUCACCAAGGCGACGAUCCCUAGCUGGUCUGAGAGGAUGAUCAGCCACACUGGAACUGAGACACGGUCCAGACUCCUACGGGAGGCAGCAGUGGGGAAUAUUGCACAAUGGGCGCAAGCCUGAUGCAGCCAUGCCGCGUGUAUGAAGAAGGCCUUCGGGUUGUAAAGUACUUUCAGCAGUGAGGAAGGUGGUGUACUUAAUA